AAGCAUAUCAAUAAGCGGAGGAAAAGAAACCAACAGGGAUUGCCUCAGUAACGGCGAGUGAAGCGGCAACAGCUCAAAUUUGAAAUCUGGCUCUUUCAGGGUCCGAGUUGUAAUUUGUAGAGGAUGCUUCGGGUACGGCUCCGGUCUAAGUUCCUUGGAACAGGACGUCGCAGAGGGUGAGAAUCCCGUACGUGACCGGCCUCCACGCCCGUGUGAAGCUCCUUCGACGAGUCGAGUUGUUUGGGAAUGCAGCUCAAAAUGGGUGGUAAAUUUCAUCUAAAGCUAAAUAUUGGCCAGAGACCGAUAGCGCACAAGUAGAGUGAUCGAAAGAUGAAAAGCACUUUGGAAAGAGAGUCAAACAGUACGUGAAAUUGUUGAAAGGGAAGCGCUUGCAACCAGACUUGCCCGCGGGUGAUCAGCCGGUAUUUUUACCGGUGCACUCGCCCGUGGUCAGGCCAGCAUCGGUUUGGGCGGCUGGAUAAAGUCCCCCGGAAUGUAGCUCCUUUCGGGGAGUGUUAUAGCCGGGGGUGCAAUGCUGCCCGCCUGGACCGAGGACCGCGCUUCGGCUUGGAUGCUGGCGUAAUGGUUGUAAGCGACCCGUCUUGAA
rnacentral:rRNA from 1 species